rnacentral:rRNA from 1 species
ACGAACGCUGGCGGCAUGCCUAACACAUGCAAGUCGAACGCGACCUUCGGGUCUAGUGGCGCACGGGUGCGUAACGCGUGGGAACCUGCCCUUAGGUUCGGAAUGACUCCCCGAAAGGGGUGCUAAUACCGGAUAAUGUCUUCGGACCAAAGAUUUAUCGCCUUUGGAUGGGCCCGCGUUGGAUUAGCUAGUUGGUAGGGUAAAAGCCUACCAAGGCGACGAUCCAUAGCUGGUCUGAGAGGAUGAUCAGCCACACUGGGACUGAGACACGGCCCAGACUCCUACGGGAGGCAGCAGUGGGGAAUAUUGGACAAUGGGCGAAAGCCUGAUCCAGCAAUGCCGCGUGAGUGAUGAAGGCCUUAGGGUUGUAAAGCUCUUUUACCCGGGAUGAUAAUGACAGUACCGGGAGAAUAAGCUCCGGCUAACUCCGUG